UGGGGAAUAUUGCACAAUGGGCGCAAGCCUGAUGCAGCAACGCCGCGUGAGGGAUGACGGCCUUCGGGUUGUAAAACCUCUUUUAGCAGGGAAGAAGCGAAAGUGACGGUACCUGCAGAAAAAGCACCGGCUAACUACGUGCCAGCAGCCGCGGUAAUACGUAGGGUGCAAGCGUUGUCCGGAAUUAUUGGGCGUAAAGAGCUCGUAGGCGGUCUGUCGCGUCUGCUGUGAAAUCCCCGAGGCUCAACCUCGGGCCUGCAGUGGGUACGGGCAGACUAGAGUGCGGUAGGGGAGAAUGGAACUCCUGGUGUAGCGGUGGAAUGCGCAGAUAUCAGGAAGAACACCGAUGGCGAAGGCGAGUCUCUGGGCCGUAACUGACGCUGAGGAGCGAAAGCGUGGGGAGCGAACAGGAUUAGAUACCCUGGUAGUCCACGCCGUAAACGUUGGGCGCUAGAUGUGGGGCACCAUUCCACGGUUUCCGUGUCGCAGCUAACGCAUUAAGCGCCCCGCCUGGGGAGUACGGCCGCAAGGCU
rnacentral:rRNA from 1 species